rnacentral:rRNA from 1 species
UACGAAGGGGGCUAGCGUUGUUCGGAAUUACUGGGCGUAAAGCGCACGUAGGCGGAUCGAUCAGUCAGGGGUGAAAUCCCAGAGCUCAACUCUGGAACUGCCUUUGAUACUGUCGAUCUAGAGUAUGGAAGAGGUGAGUGGAAUUCCGAGUGUAGAGGUGAAAUUCGUAGAUAUCUGGAGGAACACCGGUGGCGAAGGCGGCAUCCUGGACCGACACUGACGCUGAGGAGCGAAAGCCAGGGGAGCAAACGGG